rnacentral:rRNA from 1 species
AGUGAACGCUGGCGGUAGGCCUAACACAUGCAAGUCGAACGGCAGCACAGGAGAGCUUGCUCUCUAGGUGGCGAGUGGCGGACGGGUGAGGAAUACAUCUGAAUCUGCCCAGUCGUGGGGGAUAACGUAGGAAAACUUACGCUAAUACCGCAUACGACCUUCGGGUGAAAGAGGGGGAUCGCAAGACCUCUCGCGAUUGGAUUAGCCGAUGUCGCAUUAGCUAGUUAGGAGGGUAAUGGCCCACCAAUGCCACGAUGCGUAGCUGGUCUGAGAGGGUGAUCGGCCACAGUAGAACUGAGACACGGUCCAGACUCCUACGGGAGGCAGCAGUAGGAAAGCUACAGCAAUGGGCGAAAGCCUGACGGAGCAACGCCGCGGGAGUGAAGGAGGUCUUCGGAUCGUAAAACUCUUUUAUUAGACAAGAACAAAUGUGUAAGUAACUAUGCACGUCUUGAGGGUACCUAAUCAGAAAGCCACGGCUAACUACGUG